UACGUAGGGUGCAAGCGUUAAUCGGAAUUACUGGGCGUAAAGCGUGCGCAGGCGGUUGUGCAAGACAGAUGUGAAAAUCCCCGGGCUCAACCUGGGAAUUGCAUUUGUGACUGCACGGCUAGAGUGUGUCAGAGGGGUAGAAUUCCACGUGUAGCAGUGAAAUGCGUAGAGAUGUGGAGGAAUACCGAUGGCGAAGGCAGCCCUGGGAUAACACUGACGCUCAUGCACGAAAGCGUGGGGAGCAAACAGG
rnacentral:rRNA from 1 species